GGAAGUUUCCAUGGCAGCUUCUGAGAGGCCCUUUGUCUCAGCCAUGGAGAAAAGGAAACAGCCCAGGAUGGACCAGCGAUCCCAUCUAAUGAGCAAUCUGAAUGGUCGAUGCUGGCGUGUUCGUGAAUCCCAAUCCCGUUCCGGAUGAUCCUCAGGGAGCCCUCCUUAAAGGCACCAGAGCACGUGACCAGCUAGAGAGAGCAGGUUGAACCUUAGUGUGUGACCAAAAGUGAUGGAAUGUGUGUAAUCUCUUGCUAUGAUCCUGUCAACCCACAGAAAAAGUCAUCAGAUGUCUAGGAAACCAAGAAAAGAGAUCACUUGUGACUGACGAAGGAUACUUGUUAUUGCAGAUGUGUUUUGUGAUUGAUAAGACAAUAAACUAUUGAGAUGUUUUUAAUUCAUCAGGAUUUGCUUGUUGUCAGAGACAUUUUCUGAAAUAACAACUUGGUUCAAAAUACCUAUUGGCUUAUCAAUCACGUAUCCUGAAAUACCAUAAAGGAAAUUUACAAGUAAUUAGGCUGUUGAAAAAGGAAUUCCUUUGUCUCUCUUUGUAAAGACCCAUGGCACAUAAGGAGCUGAGGUUUUGAGACUUAGUUGGGAGUGAAACAAGAACAUUUCUGCAGAUCAGUUUGGUAAUGUACAGCCUUCCUUUCUGUAUUCUAUAAUGUGCUAUAGCAAUCCUUAACUAAUAAUCUGAUUAAUAAAUACUGACUGAGCCUGUU